UGUCCUUUGCACUUGAGUGGUGCAGUAUUCUAGUCAGAGCUGCUAAUUCUGAAGGCGGGGCUAAAAAUCCGUCAAAGGGCACAUCGAUGAAGUUCCUGGUAUUGGCUUUCGACGCCCAGUCGGGGGCUUAUGCUGGGAGUAAGGAUUUGGGGGCGAUCCACAAUGGCAUGUGGGCGUUGACCCUCUAUCCGUGGAGACCUAAAUUAUAUUAAUAAUUUAGGAUUAACCUGCAAUGUGGUAGUUCGUCUGCUACGUGCAGUGUAGCCUGCCUUGAGUGGGAUAGGUGGAUGGAUACGUAAGGGUGUCUGUUUUAUGGGACCAUAAAAUAGAUACAUUUGUAUUCUAAACCUAUGCUGCAAAAGAGGCUAGGGAUUAGCGUGCCUGUUGAGGAAAACUCCUAGACUGUUCCAAUAUGGAGAUAUAUUGAGGAUUAUAGUGCAGACUCAGUGGUAAUCUAGUUUUAUAUAUGGCGACAAUAUAAAUAUGGGUUUAAAGGGAAACCGCUGAUCCGGCGACGGAACAGUACUCAUAUGGGAAAUCCUACUGGACCUAAGCUGCAAAGUUUACUUAAUAUAUUACCCUCAAGUAAAGAGUAAUA
rfam:Clostridium caminithermale DSM 15212 genome assembly, contig: EJ27DRAFT_scaffold00001.1